rnacentral:rRNA from 1 species
CCUACGGGAGGCAGCAGUGAGGAAUAUUGGUCAAUGGGCGAGAGCCUGAACCAGCCAAGUCGCGUGAGGGAGUACUGCCCUAUGGGUUGUAAACCUCUUUUGUCGGGGAGCAAAAGCCGGACGUGUCCGGCUGUGAGAGUGCCCGAAGAAAAAGCAUCGGCUAACUCCGUGCCAGCAGCCUCGGUAAUACGGAGGAUGCGAUCGUUAUCCGGAUUUAUUGGGUUUAAAGGGUGCGAAGUCGGAUUUUUAAGUCAGCGGUAAAAUCGUGGGGCUCAACCCCAUCCAGCCGUUGAAACUGGGGAUCUAGAGUGUGCGAGAGGUAUGCGGAAUGCGUGGUGUAGCGGUGAAAUGAAUAGAUAGCACGCAGAACCCCGAUUGCGAAGGCAGCACACCGGUGCACAACUGACGCUCAGGCACGAAAGCGUGGGUAUCGAACAGGAUUAGAUACCCCAGUAGUC